UACGUAGGGUGCAAGCGUUACUCGGAAUUACUGGGCGUAAAGCGUGCGUAGGUGGUUUGUUAAGUCUGAUGUGAAAGCCCUGGGCUCAACCUGGGAACUGCAUUGGAAACUGGCUUACUAGAGUGCGGUAGAGGGGUGUGGAAUUCCCGGUGUAGUGGUGGAAUGCGUAGAUAUCGGGAGGAACACCAGUGGCGAAGGCGGUUACCUGGAGCGUUGCUGACGCUGAUGCGCGAAAGCGUGGGGAGCGAUCCGG
rnacentral:rRNA from 1 species